rnacentral:misc_RNA from 1 species
AGCAGCCGCGGUAAUUCCAGCUCCAAUAGCGUAUAUUAAAGUUGUUGCAGUUAAAAAGCUCGUAGUUGAAUUUCGGGAUUGACACAUCGGUCGUGCCUUAAGGGGUAUGAACUGGUGUAGUCAAUUUCUCACCUUCUGGAGAACCGCGAUGCCCUUAAUUGGGUGUCGCGGGGAACCAGGACCUUUACUUUGAAAAAUUAGAGUGUUUAAAGCAGGCAUUUUGCUUGAAUACAUUAGCAUGGAAUAAUAAAAUAGGACGGCAUGAUUCUAUUUUGUUGGUUUCUAGGAUCACCGUAAUGAUUAAUAGGGAUAGUUGGGGGCAUUAGUAUUCAAUUGUCAGAGGUGAAAUUCUUGGAUUUAUUGAAGACUAACUACUGCGAAAGCAUUUGCCAAGGAUGUUUUCAUUAAUCAAGAACGAAAGUUAGGGGAUCGAAGACGAUCAGAUACCGUCGUAGUCUUAACCAUAAACUAUGCCGACUAGGAAUCAGACGAUGUUAAUUUUUAAUGAC